GUCAGGAUGGCUGCGCGGUCUAAGGCGGCAGACUCAAGGAAAACCUUCCCCUGCUGUAGGGCUGAGUGUUCUGGUCCACGAAUGCGGGCUGGGUUCGAAUCCCACUUCUGACA
rnacentral:tRNA from 13 species